rnacentral:snRNA from 1 species
AUGCUCACCCGGCAGGGGAGACACCAUGAUCAUGAAGGUGGUUUUCCCAGGGUUAGGUCCACGCAUCGAAUUCCAGGUGCACUGACACCUGCAAUUUCCCCAAACGCGGGAAACCGGACUGCGUAAUCAGUGGGGCAGGUGGGGACUGUGUUUGCACUGUUCCCUG